UCCUACGGGAGGCAGCAGUGGGGAAUAUUGCACAAUGGGCGCAAGCCUGAUGCAGCGACGCCGCGUGAGGGAUGACGGCCUUCGGGUUGUAAACCUCUGUUAGCAUCGAAGAAGCGAAAGUGACGGUAGGUGCAGAGAAAGCGCCGGCUAACUACGUGCCAGCAGCCGCGGUAAUACGUAGGGCGCGAGCGUUGUCCGGAAUUAUUGGGCGUAAAGAGCUCGUAGGCGGCUGGUCGCGUCUGUCGUGAAAACUUCCGGCUCAACCGGGGGCUUGCGGUGGGUACGGGCCGGCUAGAGUGCGGUAGGGGUAACUGGAACUCCUGGUGUAGCGGUGGAAUGCGCAGAUAUCAGGAAGAACACCGAUGGCGAAGGCAGGUUACUGGGCCGUUACUGACGCUGAGGAGCGAAAGCGUGGGGAGCGAACAGGAUUAGAUACCCUGGUAGUCCACGCCGUAAACGUUGGGCACUAGGUGUGGGGGGCCUUUUCCGGGUCUUCCGCGCCGUAGCUAACGCAUUAAGUGCCCCGCCUGGGGAGUACGGCCGCAAGGCUAAAACUCAAAGGAAUUGACGGGGGCCCGCACAAGCGGCGGAGCAUGCGGAUUAAUUCGAUGCAACGCGAAGAACCUUACCAAGGCUUGACAUAUACUGGACCGCAUCAGAGAUGGUGUUUCCCUUCGGGGCUGGUAUACAGGUGGUGCAUGGUUGUCGUCAGCUCGUGUCGUGAGAUGUUGGGUUAAGUCCC
rnacentral:rRNA from 1 species